UUGCUCCUGUAGCACAUAUACUAAAAUUGGAAUGAUACAGAGAUUAGCAUGGCUCCUGCACAGAGAUGACACACAAUUCGUGCAGCAGUCCAUGUUCAU
ensembl:snRNA U6 U6 spliceosomal RNA